rnacentral:rRNA from 1 species
ACGCUCGACACCUACGUGAGGCAGCAGUGGGGAAUAUUGCACAAUGGGGGAAACCCUGAUGCAGCAACGCCGCGUGAAGGAAGACGGUUUUCGGAUUGUAAACUUCUGUUCUUAGUGAAGAUAGUGACGGUAGCUAAGGAGCAAGCCACGGCUAACUACGUGCCAGCAGCCGUGGUAAUCUGAGCGGGCUGGCAAGGC